CUCACCCUCAUUUCCAUCUCCGUUGACACCAAACCCAUUAAUCCCUACAUGAAGUUCGUGCACAAUGCCAACAACAUACCAGACCAUCAAGAACAGCAACCAUACGACUACAUAGUCAUCGGCGGCGGAACGGCCGGGUGCCCGUUAGCCACAACACUAUCCACAAACUUCACCGUCCUCGUCCUCGAACGAGGCAGCGAGCCGACCAAGUUCCCAUCCGUGUUAAACAAGCAAGGCUUACUAAACGCAUUCACCGACGACGACGACGGGAAAGGCCCGUACGAGCGGUUCGUGUCGGAGGACGGCGUGGAGAAUCUACGAGGGAGGAUCUUGGGCGGGAGUAGCAUGAUCAAUGCUGGAUUCUACUCAAGGGCUCAUAGGGAGUUCUUUGAAAGUGGAGGCGUUGAUUGGGAGAUGGAUAUGGUGGAGAAGGGCUAUGAAUGGGUUGAGGAGACGGUGGUGUCACGGCCGAGGUUGAGCUCUUGGCAGGCGGCGCUUAGAAGGGCGAUGUUGGAAGGUGGGGUUGGGCCUGAUAAUGGGUUUGAUUUGAGAAGCGUUGUGGGGACUAAGACUGGUGGUUCGAUCUUUGAUGUGCAUGGGAAUAGACGUGGAGCUGUGGAGUUUUUGAAUAAGGUUGAGUCUAAUAACCUUAAGGUUGUUGUUGAGGCAAGUGUCAAUAGAAUCAUCUUCUCUGGUUUAUCUGCGACCGGGGUUUCCUAUUCCGAUUCAAAAGGAAAGACACACACCGCAUACAUCCGCAACAAAGGUGAGAUCAUAUUGAGCGCCGGAGCCAUUGGAAGCCCACAACUCCUCCUUCUAAGCGGAAUCGGCCCGAUAUCUCAUCUCUCCUCCCUCAACCUCCCCGUCGUCCUCCACCAACCCCACGUCGGCGAAUUCAUGUCCGACAACCCCCGUUUCGGCGUCAACAUAAUGCUACCAUUUCCACUCCCAACCACCACCGUAGAAGUCGUCGGAACCACCGAAACAAACACCCAUUUCGAAUCCCUCUCAAAUUUCCUCCCAUUUUCAAUUCCCCCCUCCUUCGCCCUUCUCCCUCCACACUCCACUUCGCUCAAUUUAAGCCUAGUCGUAAUCAGCGGCAAAUUCUCCAAAGUGGGUUCUGUGGGGUCUCUCCGGUUGAAUUCCUCCACCGAUGUGCGGCGGAGCCCCACCGUUCGGUUCAAUUAUUUCACGCAGCCGGAGGAUCUGGCGCAGUGUGUUGAAGGGUUGAGGAAAAUUGGGGAUUUGCUGAAUACCCAAACGAUGGAGAAGAUUAAGACGCCAGAUUUGGAGGGGAAAAAGAGAAUUCAGUUUUUGGGGCUGCCGUUGCCGGAAAACAUGGCGGAUGAUGGAGUGGUUGGGGAGUUUUGUCGGAGAACGGUGACAACGUUUUGGCAUUACCAUGGAGGAUGUUUGGUCGGAAAAGUGGUGGAUGGGAAUUAUAGAGUUGUCGGAGUUGAAAAUCUGCGUGUCGUUGACGGCUCCACUUUCUCCGACUCGCCGGGAACCAAUCCUAUGGCCACUGUCUCCAUGUUGGGGCGAAUGGAAGAGGGGAGGAGAUUCUCGAACGAGAAAAAGGAUCCAAGAAUUGAAGGAGGAGUCGUAUGAGGUGAAAAUCUCAUGUAUGGUUAUGUCGAGUGGCAGUAAGGGUGACUUAACUAUCAAUUUUUCUACCGUCAUUCCCAAAAAACCAAACUUUGUCUUAUGUAAAGUUUUAGAGUACGCUUAACCUCGAGAUUUGAAAUCAACUGAUAUUGGCUAAGGUAUGUUGGUCUCAAGAUGCUUCGAGAAAGAUAAGUGUGUAAAAUCGACGGCUAGGAGUUGAGAAGCCAUUUUCUUAUUUUACUAUU